GGGAGCAGUGCCAAAAUGUCAAAUAUGAACGAGAGGGGUACACUCUCACAGUUGAUAUUGAGAAAGGAAUGCAAGAUGGACAGGUACUUGUUUUUUGGGAUG